ACAAGAAUUGCCUAAGAAUUUUGUUGAAACACAGAAUCUCAGUAAACUUGAGGUGAUUCUUAAGAUUCUGCACUUCUAAAAAGCUCUAAAAUGAUGUCAGU
rnacentral:pre_miRNA from 1 species